rnacentral:rRNA from 1 species
GGGGAAUUUUCCGCAAUGGGCGAAAGCCUGACGGAGCAAGACCGCGUGCGGGAGGAAGGUCUAUUGACUGUAAACCGCUUUUGAUAGGGAAGAAGAUCUGACGGUACCUAUCGAAUCAGCAUCGGCUAACUCCGUGCCAGCAGCCGCGGUAAUACGGGGGAUGCAAGCGUUAUCCGGAAUUAUUGGGCGUAAAGCGUCCGUAGGUGGUUUUAUAAGUCUGUUGUCAAAUCGCGAGGCUUAACCUCGUACAGGCAGUGGAAACUAUAAGACUAGAGUGCGGUAGGGGUAGAGGGAAUUUCCAGUGUAGCGGUGAAAUGCGUAGAUAUUGGAAAGAACACCGGUGGCGAAGGCGCUCUACUGGGCCUGCACUGACACUGAGGGACGAAAGCUAGGGGAGCGAAAGGGAUUAGAUACCCCUGUAGUCCUAGCCGUAAACGAUGGAAACUAGGUGUUGCCCGUAUCGACCCGGGCAGUGCCGUAGCCAACGCGUUAAGUUUCCC